rnacentral:rRNA from 1 species
GACGAACGCUGGCGGCGUGCUUAACACAUGCAAGUCGAACGGAAAGGCCCUGCUUUUGUCGGGUGCUCGAGUGGCGAACGGGUGAGUAACACGUGAGUAACCUGCCCUUGACUUUGGGAUAACUUCAGGAAACUGGGGCUAAUACCGGAUAGGAGCUCCUGCUGCAUGGUGGGGGUUGGAAAGUUUCGGCGGUUGGGGAUGGACUCGCGGCUUAUCAGCUUGUUGGUGGGGUAGUGGCUUACCAAGGCUUUGACGGGUAGCCGGCCUGAGAGGGUGACCGGCCACAUUGGGACUGAGAUACGGCCCAGACUCAUACGGGAGGCAGAAGUGGGGAAUAUUGCACAAUGGGCGGAAGCCUGAUGCAGCAACGCCGCGUGCGGGAUGACGGCCUUCGGGUUGUAAACCGCUUUCGCCUGUGACGAAGCGUGAGUGACGGUAAUGGGUAAAGAAGCACCGGCUAACUACGUG